AGGGAUAUAGCUUAGUUGGUAGAGUGCUUGCCUUGCAUGCACAAAGCUCUGGGUUCAAUCCCCAGCACCCCCC
rnacentral:tRNA from 1 species